GUGGGGAAUAUUGGACAAUGGGCGAAAGCCUGAUCCAGCCAUGCCGCGUGUGUGAAGAAGGUCUUCGGAUUGUAAAGCACUUUAAGUUGGGAGGAAGGGUAGUAACCUAAUACGUUGCUACUUUGACGUUACCGACAGAAUAAGCACCGGCUAACUUCGUGCCAGCAGCCGCGGUAAUACGAAGGGUGCAAGCGUUAAUCGGAAUUACUGGGCGUAAAGCGCGCGUAGGUGGUUCAGCAAGUUGGAUGUGAAAGCCCCGGGCUCAACCUGGGAACUGCAUACAAAACUACUGAGCUAGAGUACGGUAGAGGGUGGUGGAAUUUCCUGUGUAGCGGUGAAAUGCGUAGAUAUAGGAAGGAACACCAGUGGCGAAGGCGACCACCUGGACUGAUACUGACACUGAGGUGCGAAAGCGUGGGGAGCAAACAGGAUUAGAUACCCGUGUAGUCC
rnacentral:rRNA from 1 species